AUGCCACCCGGCACCUGCAUGCCAGGAGCCUUUCUUUGGGUCGCCCCCAAGUUCCCAAACCGUUUCCAAAAGAAAAGCAAAGAAACGCUCCUCUCCGACGAUGGAAGUCCUGGCACUGCCUCCAGCUUGGCUCUCUUCAUCUUCUCCUUCUUCUGGCAGAGCCCCAGCAUCUCCAAGGAGACACAGCACCUAGAGCGGGCCAUGGCCAGCUGCCUCCCACCAGGGUACGUGGACCGAGAGAAGGAGUUUGGCCAUUCCAACCGGUGCAAGUUAACCCACUGGAGAUGUCAAAUGGGGGAAGGGGCUGAAGCAGGGGAGGAUGGGAUGAAAAGGAGGAAGUGGGGACAGCUCUGCAAGAUCCAGUUACACGUUCCUGAUGCACCUUCUGGAAAAUCUACUGCAAAUCCAAAUCUACUUACUCUAUUUUCCUAUUGUGCCCUUUGGUUAAUCAAUCGAUCUAUCAAUCAAUAGCAUUUAUUGAGCACCCAAAGUAUGUAUAACACUGUACUAAGCACUUGGGAGAUCACAGAAGGGAUGAUCACUGAUCUCAAGGAGCUUUCAAUCUAGCAAGAGAGUCUGACAAUAUAAUUUACAGAUAGAAGAAAAAGGAAAAAUGGAUUUGUUGAAGAGUCAGUCUUAAGCCCUCCUCCCAUCAUUUUCUACAGUAACGGGAGUGAUUUUUAAUUCCCUUCACUCCCAUUCAGGCAAAUCUUAAAGUUCUCCCUUAUGAACUGUGUCCAUAACAUCCUCGAGUUCCUCCACUUUGGGGCUAGCCUGCCCACUGCCUCCAUAGCCCUACCUUAUUGAGCUAUAGGGCUAACAUCUCCCUAAAUAAGUUCUGCCCUUUUUCCACUGACAAAAGCACACAAUGGUCAAUGGCAGGGAAGUGGAUCCCAGAUAUUUCAGCUGAGCUGAAGAACAUCAUCACUAAGGACAACACCAAGUUUUCCAUUCAAAGUCCCCUCAAUGAAAUGACUCCAAAUUCAUUUUCCAUGGCUUAUUCACCUAGGUUGAGCUAAUGAGGGGCUAUGCCACCAGUGGUGAUGAUUUCUGACCAAAGGUGUUCCACAAGAUAAUGAAAAACAGCUGGCUAAUGGGAGCAGCAAAUACCAUGGUGGCUACCAAAACGGCCACCUGGCAGGUCAUAUGGUACAGUAAGCACACUAUCCUGAGGUCAUUUUGGCAGCAAAUAGGUCCUGCAAGUAAAAAAAAAAUCAAAAAACCUUUGUGGGCAACUUUACCACGUGCUGCACACCCACCAGCCUAUUCUCUUGUUGCACUGGGUGCCCUAGUAGGAACAUUAGGAAAAGGAAAAAGUGUGAGAGGCCCCGCACGGUCCACUGUCACUAUAAUCAAUUCCUCUGCACAGAUUCUCCGGAUCAAGGCCUAUCCAUUGUUUUCUGCCCUCGCUGAAUAGCAAACAGUCAGAUGUGGGAGAUGUUACAGGCCAUAAGCCAGGCAUGCAGUAUAGACUAGUGAUGUUCGCACCACUUUAUGGAAAUCCACCCAAACCUAGAGUUUUUAUUCAGGGCAUCUGUGAUCCUGUAUCUGCUCUAGAGUCGGUGUCCGGAGGCCAAGGGCUCAAGAUAAAAACCCCAGAUAUAAAGGUGGUAGCUACCUUAUCUGUAUCGGACAAGGGACAGACCAUCUGAAAAUCACACUGCCUGCUAUAAAAACCAGACAACUGACCACACUAGCUGGAGACAGCCUAAUUUCUCUCCCUAUCCACUCAACCAGGCUAAACUAAUCAACCAUGGAGCAACAAAACUCAGCUACCUUCCAACAAAGAAGCAGCCUCCAAUUACUCCAGGAAAUUUAGUGUGUAGCCAUAGGGCUGCAGUACUAUUGUCAUUAUUACCAAUUUGACAUGCUUCAUGAGCUGAGGGAUGACUCGUUGGGACAUCUGUAAACCAGGGGCAACCUAAAUCUCCUUGGCAGCCUUUAAACACACCUUAUUUGGGAUGGCACUGCAGAGGAAUCUGCUGAGGUGGGAAUAAAGUGCCUUUUCUUUUUCCUCUUCAAUCAUAGUAAAUUGCAGGAUUUCAGUCUUAACCAAGAAGACAUCAAAACUGAAGCUAAUUCAGGAAACAAAUGCAUAGAAAUUGAUAUUUCUCUCCAAAUGAGAAUGCCAAUUUCCCUGGGGCAAGGAGACUCUACUUCAAUUAAUAUAUUUCUAACCUCAAGUUUUUAAGUAUGAACUUUGCAAGCAUGGCUGUCAUCAUAGAAUGCAGCUGUCAUUUACUCACAUUUGCUUACAGACCAGGAGUAAUUUUCAAAACAGGGAUACUGGGGGUGAGGGCACAGGGGAUGUAUUUAGAAAGCGAAAAGAAGGAUUAAAUCUGUCAAUAAUUGGUUCUGACUGAAGGAAGAUCAAUUUCCUUGAUUGUGAAUCACUUCUGAUCUCAGACAUAAAUGAGGCAUCAUUCAACACAAAAUCACCUAUUGUCAGCAAAUAAAUGAAAAAAGUAUUUACUUUGAUUUUUUUAUCCAAUAUCCAAAUUCAAAUGUACUAUUUAAAAAAUACAUUUGCACUUUCCACCCUGCUGCAUCCGAUGAUUGCAGUGUGAUUAUUAAACACUUCAUAAAUAAUAAUGUGACAUUUUCAGAUUGUGCAUCUGAUUAAAGUGGCCAUUCUUCUUUCUGCCUGAGACCACGGACAGAUGAGAUCGCUGAAGACAGGAUAUUUCCAUGUGGCCUCGACACCCCCCUACCCUGAUCCCCUGGGAUGAGAAGUCACCACUGUCACCCAAUUAAAUCCAUGUGCAGAUGAGUGGCUACUGAGGCACUGGGUGAUUCAUUCUCUCCCAAGUUCAUCUGUGGUACACAACACUAUCUCUUACAUGGCGUAGAGCACAGGCUCUGUUUCCAAAUAAGUAUGCAGGAAAGAUCCUGUGGCAUCUCUCACCAUGGGCACAGCUUAACUUAGAUGUCAGAAAGAUGGAUGUCAUCAUAAAUGGUAUUUGGUCCACGUUUUGCCACUGUGAUCCCAGAACUUCAAACGAAAAGACCUUGUUAAGUCAGCACUGUUUGGUCCAACAGCGUAAAUACUCUCAUAAUCCUGUAAUGAUUUCCGAUCCUGAAAAAUGACUCUGUCUUUAGGCUUUCC
rnacentral:lncRNA from 1 species